AGCAGCCGCGGUAAUUCCAGCUCCAAUAGCGUAUAUUAAAGUUGUUGCAGUUAAAAAGCUCGUAGUUGAAUUUCGGGAUCAAUUAAUUGGUCGUGCCUCUGGUACGUACUGGUUUUAUUGGUUUCUCCCUUCUGACGAACCAUGAUGUCAUUAAUUUGGUGUCGUGGAGAAUCAGGACUGUUACUUUGAAAAAAUUAGAGUGUUUAAAGCAAGCUAACGCUUGAAUACAUUAGCAUGGAAUAAUGAAAUAGGACGUUUGAUCCUAUUUUGUUGGUUUCUAGGAUCGACGUAAUGAUUAAUAGGGAUAGUUGGGGGCAUUAGUAUUCAAUUGUCAGAGGUGAAAUUCUUGGAUUUAUUGAAGACUAACUACUGCGAAAGCAUUUGCCAAGGAUGUUUUCAUUAAUCAAGAACGAAAGUUAGGGGAUCGAAGACGAUCAGAUACCGUCGUAGUCUUAACCAUAAACUAUGCCGACUAGGGAUCGGAUGAUGUUAAUUUUUAAUGUAC
rnacentral:rRNA from 1 species